rnacentral:rRNA from 1 species
CGUCAGGAUGAACGCUGGCGGCGUGCUAACACAUGCAAGUCGAACGGAGUUUUAACGGAAGUUUCGGAUGGAAGUUAAGAACUUAGUGGCGGACGGGUGAGUAACGCGUGGGUAACCUGCCUCAUACAGGGGGAUAACAGUUAGAAAUGACUGCUAACACCGCAUAAUAUAGUGAAACCGCAUGAUUUUGCUAUCAAAUAUUUAUAGGUAUGAGAUGGGCCCGCGUCUGAUUAGCUAGUUGGUGGGGUAAAAGCCUACCAAGGCGACGAUCAGUAGCCGGCUUGAGAGAGUGACCGGCCACAUUGGGACUGAGACACGGCCCAAACUCCUACGGGAGGCAGCAGUGGGGAAUAUUGGACAAUGGGGGAAACCCUGAUCCAGCGACGCCCGCGUGAGUGAAGAAGUAUUUCGGUAUGUAAAGCUCUAUCAGCAGGGAAGAUAAUGACAGUACCUGACUAAGAAGCCCCGGCUAACUACGUGCCAGCAGCUGC